rnacentral:rRNA from 1 species
CCUACGGGCGGCAGCAGUGAGGAAUAUUGGUCAAUGGCCGGAAGGCUGAACCAGCCAAGCCGCGUGAAUGACGAAGGUGUCAAGCAUGGUAAACUCUUUUUGUCAAGGGACAAAUUCAGGUUCGUGAGUCUGACCGAGGGUACUUGAAGAAAAAGCAUCGGCAAACUCCGGGCCAGCAGCCGCGGUAAUACGGAGGAUGAGGGCGUUAUACGGAUUUAUUGGGUUUAAAGGGUGGGUAGGGGGGCUGUUAAGCUGGCGCUAAAAGCCAGGGGCUCAACCCCGGCGAGCCGUUGAAACUGGGUGUCUUGAGAGGAGGAGAGGUAUGCGGAAUGCGCAGUGUAGCGGUGAAAUGCUUAGAUAUUGGGAAGAACUCCAAUGGCGAAGGCGGCGUACCGGCG